UACGUAGGGGGCUAGCGUUGUCCGGAAUCAUUGGGCGUAAAGAGCGUGUAGGCGGCCCGGUAAGUCCGCUGUGAAAGUCGGGGGGCUCAACCCUCGAAUGCCGGUGGAUACUGUCGGGCUAGAGUGCGGAAGAGGCGAGUGGAAUUCCUGGUGUAGCGGUGAAAUGCGCAGAUAUCAGGAGGAACACCAAUUGCGAAGGCAGCUCGCUGGGACGUUACUGACGCUGAGACGCGAAAGCGUGGGGAGCAAACAGG
rnacentral:rRNA from 1 species